rnacentral:rRNA from 1 species
UACGGAGGAUCCGAGCGUUAUCCGGAUUUAUUGGGUUUAAAGGGUGCGCAGGCGGGAGAUUAAGUCGGCGGUGAAAUUUUGCAGCUCAACUGUAAAAGUGCCUUCGAAACUGGUUUCCUUGAGUGUAGAUGAAGUAGGCGGAAUUUGUGGUGUAGCGGUGAAAUGCUUAGAUAUUACACAGAACACCAAUUGCGUAGGCAGCUUACUGAGCCGACACUGACGCUGAGGCACGAAAGCGUGGGGAUCAAACAGGAUUAGAUACCCUCGUA